rnacentral:rRNA from 1 species
AGCGAACGCUGGCGGCAUGCCUAACACAUGCAAGUCGCGCGGGCGGGGGCUUCGGCUCUCGUCAGCGGCGGACGGGUGAGCAACGCGUAGGAACGUGUCCAGAGGUGGGGGACAACCCCGGGAAACUGGGGCUAAUACCGCAUGCGGCCUUCGGGCCAAAGCCGAGAGGCGCCUUUGGGGCGGCCUGCGUCCGAUUAGGUAGUUGGCGGGGUAACGGCCCACCAAGCCCGCGAUCGGUAGCCGGUCUGAGAGGACGAUCGGCCACACCGGGACUGAGACACGGCCCGGACUCCUACGGGAGGCAGCAGUGGGGAAUAUUGGGCAAUGGGCGCAAGCCUGACCCAGCAAUGCCGCGUGGGUGAAGAAGGUCUUCGGAUUGUAAAGCCCUUUCGGCGGGGACGAUGGUGACGGUACCCGCAGAAGAAGCCCCGGCCAACUUCGUGCCAGCAGCCGCGGUAAUACGAAGGGGGCUAGCGUUGCUCGGAAUUACUGGGCGUAAAGGGCGCGUAGGCGGCGGGCCCAGUCAGGCGUGAAAUCCCCGGGCUCAACCCGGGGGCUGCGCUUGAUACUGGUCCGCUCGAGGACGGGAGAGGCUCGCGGAAUUCCCAGUGUAGAGGUGAAAUUCGUAGAUAUUGGGAAGAACACCGGUGGCGAAGGCGGCGAGCUGGCCCGUUUCUGACGCUGAGGCGCGACAGCGUGGGGAGCAAACAGGAUUAGAUACCCUGGUAGUCCACGCCGUAAACGAUGUGCGCUGGGUGUUGGGCGGCCUAGCCGCUCAGUGCCGCAGCCAACGCGAUAAGCGCACCG